rnacentral:rRNA from 1 species
UAUGGAGGGGGCUAGCGUUGUUCGGAAUUACUGGGCGUAAAGCGCACGUAGGCGGACCGGACAGUCAGAGGUGAAAUCCCAGGGCUCAACCUUGGAACUGCCUUUGAAACUAUCGGUCUGGAGUUCGAGAGAGGUGAGUGGAAUUCCGAGUGUAGAGGUGAAAUUCGUAGAUAUUCGGAGGAACACCAGUGGCGAAGGCGGCUCACUGGCUCGAUACUGACGCUGAGGUGCGAAAGCGUGGGGAGCAAACAGG